rnacentral:rRNA from 1 species
CAGUAGCCGCGGUAAUACGUAGGUGGCAAGCGUUAUCCGGAAUUAUUGGGCGUAAAGCGCGCGUAGGCGGUUUUUUAAGUCUGAUGUGAAAGCCCACGGCUCAACCGUGGAGGGUCAUUGGAAACUGGAAAACUUGAGUGCAGAAGAGGAAAGUGGAAUUCCAUGUGUAGCGGUGAAAUGCGCAGAGAUAUGGAGGAACACCAGUGGCGAAGGCGACUUUCUGGUCUGUAACUGACGCUGAUGUGCGAAAGUGUGGGGAUCAAACAGGAUUAGAUACCCCCGUAGUCCCUGUCUCUUAUAA